rnacentral:rRNA from 1 species
GUGAAAGCCAGGAGUGCCCGCAAGGGAGCGCAGAGACAGGUGGUGCAUGGCUGUCGUCAGCUCGUGUCGUGAGAUGUUGGGUUAAGUCCCGCAACGAGCGCAACCCUCACCCUUUGUUGCCAUCAGGUUAUGCUGGGCACUCUAAGGGAACUGCCUCGGUUAACGAGGAGGAAGGUGGGGAUGACGUCAAGUCAUCAUGCCCCUUACGCUCUGGGCUACACACGUGCUACAAUGGCCAAUACAAAGGGCUGCAAACCCGCGAGGGCAAGCCAAUCCCAAAAAAUUGGUCUCAGUUCAGAUUGUAGGCUGCAACCCGCCUGCAUGAAGGAGGAAUCGCUAGUAAUCGUGGAUCAGCAUGCCACGGUGAAUACGUUCCCGGGCCUUGUACACACCGCCCGUCACACCACGAAAGUCUGUUGUACUCGAAGUCGCUGAG